rnacentral:rRNA from 1 species
CGGACGGGUGAGUAAUGUCUGGGAAACUGCCCGAUGGAGGGGGAUAACUACUGGAAACGGUAGCUAAUACCGCAUAACGUCGCAAGACCAAAGAGGGGGACCUUAGGGCCUCUUGCCAUCGGAUGCGCCCAGAUGGGAUUAGCUAGUAGGUGGGGUAACGGCUCACCUAGGCGACGAUCCCUAGCUGGUCUGAGAGGAUGACCAGCCACACUGGAACUGAGACACGGUCCAG